rnacentral:rRNA from 1 species
UACAGAGGUCCCAAGCGUUGUUCGGAUUCACUGGGCGUAAAGGGUGCGUAGGCGGUGGGGUAAGUUUGAGGUGAAAUCUCCGGGCUUAACCCGGAAAUUGCCUUGAAGACUAUCCUGCUAGAGGAUCGGAGGGGAGACUGGAAUUCUCGGUGUAGCAGUGAAAUGCGUAGAUAUCGAGAGGAACACCAGUGGCGAAGGCGAGUCUCUGGACGAUUCCUGACGCUGAGGCACGAAAGCCAGGGGAGCAAACGGG